rnacentral:lncRNA from 1 species
AGAAAUGCAAAAUGCUUAUAAUAAAUUACAUAGUGAGUUUGUUGAUGCUUCCAAGACUUUUAAAGAUUUGCAGAAAACUCUGACGUUGCAAGAAAAAGAUUUUCAAAAACAACUCUCUCUAAAAGAAAAAGAUCUUGAAAAACUGGUUUUAAAAAAUGAGAAGUUGAAAGAGGAAAACAAGUUUUUCGGAUAAAGAAGCGCCGAUAAGCCCGAAAGCUCUAUUAGAAAGUG